rnacentral:SRP_RNA from 1 species
GCCAGGCAUGGUGAUGGGUGCCUGUAAUCCCAGCUACUUGGGAGGCUGAGGCAGGAGAAUCACUUUAACCCGGGAGGCAGGGGUUGCAGUGAGUGGAGAUUAUGCCACUGCACUCCAGCCUGGGUGACAGAGUGAGACUCUGUCUCAG